rnacentral:rRNA from 1 species
AUCCGCCACACUGGGACUGAGACACGGCCCAGACUCCUACGGGAGGCAGCAGUGGGGAAUAUUGGACAAUGGGCGCAAGCCUGAUCCAGCCAUGCCGCGUGUGUGAAGAAGGCCUUAUGGUUGUAAAGCACUUUAAGCGAGGAGGAGGCUACUGAAGUUAAUACCUUCAGAUAGUGGACGUUACUCGCAGAAUAAGCACCGGCUAACUCUGUGCCAGCAGCCGCGGUAAUACAGAGGGUGCAAGCGUUAAUCGGAUUUACUGGGCGUAAAGCGCGCGUAGGCGGCUAAUUAAGUCAAAUGUGAAAUCCCCGAGCUUAACUUGGGAAUUGCAUUCGAUACUGGUUAGCUAGAGUGUGGGAGAGGAUGGUAGAAUUCCAGGUGUAGCGGUGAAAUGCGUAGAGAUCUGGAGGAAUACCGAUGGCGAAGGCAGCCAUCUGGCCUAACACUGACGCUGAGGUGCGAAAGCAUGGGGAGCAAACAGGAUUAGAUACCCUGGUAGU